rnacentral:rRNA from 1 species
UACGGGGGGUGCGAGCGUUGUCCGGAAUCACUGGGCGUAAAGGGUGCGUAGGCGGUUUGGUAAGUCUUAUGUGAAAUCUACAGGCUCAACUUGUAGUCUGCAUGAGAAACUGCCGGGCUUGAGUAUGGGAGAGGUGAGUGGAAUUCCUGGUGUAGCGGUGAAAUGCGUAGAUAUCAGGAGGAACACCUGUGGCGAAAGCGGCUCACUGGACCAUAACUGACGCUGAUGCACGAAAGCUAGGGGAGCAAACAGG